UGGGUUCUCCUCAGAGAUGAGAUUUCAAAUUUUUGAAACCCAAAAAUGAAGCCGCCUAAAUGAAAACCCUGCAAAUUCUCUGACUUGAAUUUUCACAUCAUUUUUUUAUUUUUUCAAAUUUCUUCCACGUGCACCAAUCAAAACGUGACACAUUGAUGGUGUCAAAAAUUUGUCAAAAUUUGGUGUCAAAGUAUCAUUUUCCCUGUUUAAAUUGUGGGUUAUUCUCUUUUCACG
rnacentral:lncRNA from 1 species